UACGUAGGGUGCGAGCGUUAAUCGGAAUUACUGGGCGUAAAGCGUGCGCAGGCGGUUCGCCAAGUCAGGUGUGAAAUCCCCGGGCUUAACCUGGGAAUUGCGCUUGAAACUAGCGGGCUUGAGUGUGGCAGAGGGGGGGUGGAAUUCCACGUGUAGCAGUGAAAUGCGUAGAUAUCGGGAGGAACAUCAGUGGCGAAGGCGGCUACCUGGCCCAAUACUGACACUCAGGUGCGACAGCGUGGGGAACAAACAGG
rnacentral:rRNA from 1 species